GGGGAUGGGUGGUGUGGGCAGGAGAGCCCGCAGUGUGUCCCACAACCCCUUCCCCAGGAAGCAGACAGGAUGAGCAGCCAACA
rnacentral:miRNA from 1 species